GGCAAGUGGCCGCAGUGACCGGCUUUCGGGGUGUAGGCCACGGGGCCACGGCAUCCUGAACAGCCUGUUCCGCGUUUGGAUUACAAAAAGGCGGCACCUGGCUCUCUGCUCUUGAGCCUGCCUUUAGGGCUGCUUCUGUGUUGAAGGGCAGAUGUCUGGCCGGCUCCUUGAUCAGAGGUGUAAUUACAAAUUUUGUUCUAACUCUGAAGAAAUGAAAACUUGCCAGCUAGGUUAAAGCUGUGAAUUCCCAGGUUCUGACUUGAUUUUUCUGUCCUUGCAUACUGAAUAGUAAUUCUUUGUCCCAGAGUGGUGUCGGUCACUCCCUUAACGUCCUUUCGUGACGUGCCUUCGGCUCUCUGAAGGCCUGUGUGGUGCAGAUAGAGUGAGAGGUGAGAAGGUGCUGGCUCCUGGCCACAAUCUGCAGGCCCUGAGCCAGGCGCAGCGUCCUGACCGGCUCUCAGGCAAUCUCCUGCUGCCCGCCUCGGAUGUGAGCCGGGGACCACAAGCAAAGGUAAGGUCAUUUUAGCCUGCCUUUUGUGUUAAAAAACAAACAAACAAAAAAAGAGGCAAAAGAAAAAGGAGACGUUUCAAAAAGCUUACUAAGUUCAUUACAUCUUUUACCAAGAGCAAAAUGUCCAGCAUGCUUUACAGGUAGGUAGGACACCCUUAAGGAACUACAUGUGGCCUGGGUCACUCAUGUGAUUUUUCCAUGGGACACUGGGGGAGGUGUUGCCUGCCUGAAUGCAUUGAUAGUGAUGGUGUAAUGACAAUCUGGGACACUUGCCUUCAUCUGCAGAAGAGGAGACUUUAGUGCACAGUGGUGUCAGUGACACAGCAGAGCCAGGCUGUCUUAGAGGUUGCCCUGAGGUCACACCUGGAGGCUGUCACUUCAGAGGUCCCCAGCACAGGGGUCACCGUGGUUCUACCACUGAUGGCAGUACUGUCAUUCAUUGCCACCAGAGCUGUCUGUGGGCUGCAGCUGCUCUGGGUCAGCCUGGUGUUGUGCUUUUAGGUGUAGCCCUCCUGGACGCAGCUCAACACCUUCAGGAAACCCAAGGUGGAUGUUCCCAUCUCCUUAGGGGCCUUGCUAAGGCGUGUUCCACAUCAGGAGCCAGUGCUCCAAAGCUUGUGCUGCUUCUAGAUCCAUCUUGGCCGCUGCUGGGCCCCUGCUGGUCCUCCUGCCCUUGGCCUCCAGACCUGUUUGCCUCUCAGGGGUCAGCUAUUCACGUGUUGCCAUGAAGGAGCUUGGGGUGGGCUCACUUCUCUUAGGGGGAACUCUUGCCCUGGGAAAAUGUGAACAAGAACUAAUGUGCUUUGCCCUAUCAAUUACCUCAC
rnacentral:lncRNA from 1 species